CCCCUAGAUGUUCUGGGCCGCACGCGCGCUACACUGAACAGUUCAACAAGUCUUAACCUUGGCCGAUAGGUCUGGGUAAUCUUUGAACCCUGUUCGUGAUUGGGAUAGACCUUUGCAAUUAUGGGUCUUCAACGAGGAAUUCCUAGUAAACGCAAGUCAUCAGCUUGCAUUGAUUACGUCCCUGCCCUUUGUACACACCGCCCGUCGCACCUACCGAUUGAAUGGUCCGGUGAAAUCUCGGGACGGCGGCUUGGUCGCUUGCGUCCGACUGCUGAAACUUGAUUAAACCAUAUCAUUUAGAGGAAGGUGAAGUCGUAACA
rnacentral:rRNA from 1 species